rnacentral:rRNA from 1 species
GAUGAACGCUAGCUACAGGCUUAACACAUGCAAGUCGAGGGGUAACGAGAGGAAAGCUUGCUUUCCUUGUUGACGACCGGCGCACGGGUGAGUAACGCGUAUCCAACCUGCCCCCAACUAGGGAAUAACCUUGCGAAAGUAAGACUAAUACCCUAUAAUUUCCUCAGAUGUCAUCUGACGAGGAAUAAAGAUUUAUCGGUUGUGGAUGAGGAUGCGUCUGAUUAGCUUGUUGGCGGGGUAACGGCCCACCAAGGCACCGAUCAGUAGGGGUUCUGAGAGGAAGGUCCCCCACAUUGGAACUGAGACACGGUCCAAACUCCUACGGGAGGCAGCAGUGAGGAAUAUUGGUCAAUGGGCGGAAGCCUGAACCAGCCAAGUAGCGUGCAGGAUGACGGCCCUAUGGGUUGUAAACUGCUUUUAUACAGGGAUAAAGUUAGCCACGUGUGGUUAUUUGUAGGUACUGUAUGAAUAAGGACCGGCUAAUUCCGUGCCAGCAGCCGCGGUAA